rnacentral:rRNA from 1 species
CCCCUAGAUGUUCUGGGCCGCACGCGCGCUACACUGAACAGUUCAUCAAGUCUUAACCUUGGCCGAUAGGUCUGGGUAAUCUUUGAACGCUGUUCGUGAUUGGGAUAGACCUUUGCAAUUAUGGGUCUUCAACGAGGAAUUCCUAGUAAACGCAAGUCAUCAGCUUGCAUUGAUUACGUCCCUGCCCUUUGUACACACCGCCCGUCGCACCUACCGAUUGAAUGGUCCGGUGAAAUCUCGGGACGGCGGCUUGGUCGCUUGCGUCCGACUGCUGAAACUUGAUUAAACCAUAUCAUUUAGAGGAAGGUGAAGUCGUAACA